rnacentral:rRNA from 1 species
AUUGAACGCUGGCGGCAUGCCUUACACAUGCAAGUCGAACGGCAGCGGGGGAGAAGCUUGCUUUUCCUGCCGGCGAGUGGCGAACGGGUGAGUAAUACAUCGGAACGUGCCCUGUAGUGGGGGAUAACUAGUCGAAAGAUUAGCUAAUACCGCAUACGACCUGAGGGUGAAAGUGGGGGACCGCAAGGCCUCAUGCUAUAGGAGCGGCCGAUGUCUGAUUAGCUGGUUGGUGGGGUAAAGGCUUACCAAGGCGACGAUCAGUAGCUGGUCUGAGAGGACGAUCAGCCACACUGGGACUGAGACACGGCCCAGACUCCUACGGGAGGCAGCAGUGGGGAAUUUUGGACAAUGGGCGAAAGCCUGAUCCAGCAAUGCCGCGUGUGUGAAGAAGGCCUUCGGGUUGUAAAGCACUUUUGUCCGGAAAGAAAUGGCUCUGGUUAAUACCUGGGGUCGAUGACGGUACCGGAAGAAUAAGGACCGGCUAACUACGUGCCAGCCGCCGCAGUAA